AAGGAGCACAUAGCCGACUGCGAGCGAAUGUCUCGCACGGUUGCUCAUGGGUGGAACGUUGACUAUUCGGCACGGUUCGGGAUCGGCCACUAGUACUGCUUCGGCGUGGAACGUGGGUUUGUGACUGGGUCGUGUCGGGCACGUUGUUGGGUCCUGAGGGAGCGGCCGUUUGGCUGGUACCUCAUGGUUGCCGGUCUCAUGUGAAGGAGUCUCGUGUUCGGGGUUCUGGAGUGUGGGUGACUGGUCGUUGUUUGAGAACUGCACAGUGGACGCGAGCAUCUGU
rnacentral:misc_RNA from 1 species